UUUGCAAAUUAGUUUACUUUACAGCUUAAUCACUUUCUUCUUUCCCUCUAAAUCAAACGGGAAGCCCAUUGUGUGUCUGUCUUUUCUAAUUAAAUUGCUAAGAAAAAUACCAACACGUACGCCAAUGGAACACAGUAGUUCCCUGUAUCAAAGCCUUCCAGUUACUGCUUUGUAUGACACACACACCUUGCCAUUUAAAUGCACAAAUUGUUAAUAGAUUACCAUGAGAAGAAAUUAUUCCCCGCUACUGUUCAGCACUCAGAAGAGGCCGUCCUAGGAAGAGUUUGAGGCUCUAAAAACACUCAUUUUUCUUACCUUGCCGAAUGUAUAACAUUUUGUCAGGAUUAUUUUUCAACAAUUACAAUCUUCUCAAGUUGCUUAUUUUGUCAUUUCCAUAUGUAUGGAAAUGCCUCUAGGCUUAUUUCUUUAAGACAAACACUAUACAUUGGUUGCUCGAUUUUCAUUCCGACUCUGUGAGGAGUUGGCUCCUCUGUGCUUCUCAAGUUAUCCGACUGUUCUCGCUCCAUAAUCACACCAUUUCUGCUCUCUAGGGACGCUCAGCAAGACCGGGUGAUAACCAUCAGCCUGAAGGGCUCCGCGAUUUUCUGACCAAAUCUCUAAAAUCUUCUCAUUUUUAAGGGAAAGAACCAAGAAGGAAAAGAAAAAUUCCCACUAGCACAUCCGAGACUAUGUCCUAAAUUUUUAGGGAGGGGAAAUUCUGGACGCACAGAUUCCCAGAAAGGCGAGGGCACAGCUUGCUGCUACCCGCACAGCACCAGACACACACGCUCUGCCGGCCGCCUGACAUUUCCGUGCCGCCCUAAGGUCGCGGCCGUGCCCUGCCGGGGGUUCCCCACCGCCCGCAGCCCCACGUCGCGCACACGGAGCACCCGGGGGGCUGCAGCUGAGCCCGGGGACCGCAGCGCCCCCCGCGCCGCCGCCCUACGGGGCUACGGGCGGUGCAGCUCACCUGGCCGCGGCCAGCUCCGCCGCCGCCCCCGCUGCCAUUUGUUGCUCGCGUUCGGAGGGAGCAGCUCUCCUCCCCAUCGCCGCCGCCUGCUCCGUAGCAACUGGUCCGGGUCAGUGAUGUCAAGAAACUUCAUGCUCCUCUCAGCGCAUGGGCACCACCGCUGCGUUUAUAGAUGCUGAGGUUUUGUCCCAAGAAGAAUAAUGGAGAGAAGUGAUCUUUGCAGAGAACCACAAAUCCUUUUUAUCUUGUAAUUUCCAUUGGUACCUCUGGUAGCAACACGCAUUGUUCCGGAGCCCAUCUUGCUUCCUGAUGCUGCACUUACAAGGAUUGGAGGACUGGACCUGAAAUAAUCUCUUCAAGAUGUACAUGUACCAGUAGUUCCUGAUUUCUUGUAUUUGAGAAGUUCUGUCAUACUGAAUGGUCUUGCCAGCUUUGCACAUACUCCCCUUUCUACAUAGUGAGGAGCUGUUCUGUAUUAAAGAAUAGAGCUUCUGGUUUAUAUAACAGAAAAUCCUUAGAUUGUCAAUAAUUCAUUAGCUCUGAAAGAGAAACAGCAGCUGUAAAUAAGCUCAACUUGUACAGCUCAUACUCCACCUAGCUCUGAUUUAGAGAAAAAUAAAAAGUGGUGAAGAACAGCGCUCUGCCA
ensembl:lncRNA